GGCAGCUCCUCACAGGGAAAAAAAUAGGCACAUUUAGGGCAGAUUAAAGUUUUAAAUGCAGUAACUGCAUCACCAACAGCCCAUUCCUACCAACACCUGCUGACAGCAGGCACCUCCGAGGCCAGGACAAGUGCCAAGCACCAAGCACGUGGCUCUUCCCUGGGCAUCGCCCCCAAAAGGCACCGGUUGCGACACAGGUGCAGAUCCGGCAGCCCUGGGCACAUCCUGUCCCCUCCCAGCAGAGCUGCAGGAGCCAACAGUGUCUGUCUGUGCAGGGCUGUGCUCACUCUGUGCUCGGACAGCCAUGGACACAGUCAGGCUCGUGGUCAUCCUGGGCCUGGCAGUGUUGCUGCCCACAGAUGCUGUUCCCUGCGGAGCCCAGCGCCCGGACAGCUCCACGGCCUCCAAGCUGCUGGGGACGUGGCUGUACGUGGCAGGGGCUGCCCAGUUCCCCCAGCACCGCGUGGAGAUGCUGCUCAUCGACCACGCCUAUCUGCGCUUGGAUCCCGGUGCCAGCGGGCAGGAGCUGCUCAUCAGCCACUACGUGGCCGCGGGGGACCAAUGUUUUACCAACAACCUGACCUAUUUGGAAGUCAUUGCCGGUAACGCCUCGCUGGUGAAGCACGCCGAGACCCAGCAAACUGAGGGGAUGCUGAUGAACGUGAGCUCUGAAAACCUUCUACUCGUCCAGUACCAAAUGCAGAAGGACAGGACAUACUUGGGGCAGUAUCUCUAUGCCCGGAACCGGACAAUAAGCACAGCCGAGCGGGAGGAAUUUGAGCACCACGCCGAGUGCCUGGGGCUGAGGGCGGAGCAGAUCGUGUUUGCGCCCUGGAGAACGGAGGUGUGUAAAGCGAAAGAAGCUGAAGGCAGGAGCAGCCCACACCCAGAGCCCGUGGCUGCAGUCACAGCAUCACCUGCUCCAGGUACUCCCUGGCCUGGGAGUGCAGGGAACUGACCCACACAGGGCAAUAAACGUUUUCUUCAAAUCAGCAAAUCAGAUGCAAUUUGGUGCCAAAUUGUUUGAGAGCUGAGGGUUGUUAAGAGGUCAGAAGCAGGGUUUGCAAAAAAAAAAUAAAUUAAAAAAAAAAUUCACCU
rnacentral:lncRNA from 1 species